AAAAUCCGUCGACUUUGUAAU
rnacentral:tRNA from 1 species